AUUUCCGAUAGUAAGCUGCCAGAUAUGCAAGCGGGUUGGGAAACGGCGAUCACCAAUGUUUUGGCUGGGCUUUCGGGGCUAAAUAUGGUUUACGAGUCUG
rfam:Cryomorphaceae bacterium BACL7 MAG-120910-bin24 contig00419_1_120910-bin24, whole genome shotgun sequence.